UACAGAGGUGGCAAGCGUUGUUCGGAAUUACUGGGCGUAAAGGGCGCGUAGGCGGUCUUGCAAGUCCCGUGUGAAAUCCCUCGGCUCAACUGAGGAAUCGCACGGGAAACUGCUUGGCUUGAGAUCGGGAGAGGGAAGCGGAAUUCCGGGUGUAGCGGUGAAAUGCGUAGAUAUCCGGAGGAACACCGGUGGCGAAGGCGGCUUCCUGGACCGACACUGACGCUGAGGCGCGAAAGCCAGGGGAGCAAACGGG
rnacentral:rRNA from 1 species